UACGAAGGGGGCUAGCGUUGUUCGGAAUCACUGGGCUUAAGGGCGCGUAGGCGGAUUUGCAAGUCCGUGGUGAAAUCCCACAGCUCAACUGUGGAACUGCCUCGGAUACUGUGAGUCUCGAGGGUGGUAGGGGUAUGCGGAACUAUCGGUGGAGCGGUGAAAUGCGUUGAUAUCGAUAGGAACUCCGGUGGCGAAGGCGGCAUACUGGACCACAUCUGACGCUGAGGCGCGAAAGCCAGGGGAGCAAACGGG
rnacentral:rRNA from 1 species